rnacentral:rRNA from 1 species
UCUGUAGCAAGGUUAACCGUAUAGGGGAGCCGGAGGGAAACCGAGUCUUAACCGGGCGUUAAGUUGCAGGGUAUAGACCCGAAACCCGGUGAUCUAGCCAUGGGCAGGUUGAAGGUUGGGUAACACUAACUGGAGGACCGAACCGACUAAUGUUGAAAAAUUAGCGGAUGACCUGUGGCUGGGGGUGAAAGGCCAAUCAAACCGGGAGAUAGCUGGUUCUCCCCGAAAGCUAUUUAGGUAGCGCCUCGUGAAUUCAUCUCCGGGGGUAGAGCACUGUUUCGGCUAGGGGGCCAUCCCGGCUUACCAACCCGAUGCAAACUGCGAAUACCGGAGAAUGUUAUCACGGGAGACACACGGCGGGUGCUAACGUCCGUCGUGAAGAGGGAAACAACCCAGACCGCCAGCUAAGGUCCCAAAGUCAUGGUUAAGUGGGAAACGAUGUGGGAAGGCCCAGACAGCCAGGAUGUUGGCUUAGAAGCAGCCAUCAUUUAAAGAAAGCGUAAUAGCUCACUGGUCGAGUCGGCCUGCGCGGAAGAUGUAACGGGGCUAAACCAUG